AGAGUGAAAGCUCAGACAAGCUGAGCUUUUUCAUUCUAAGAUCAAUCUCCCAUCUUAAGGAAUGUGACGUACAAACAUUUAUAUUUUAUUUCUACUUCAUUGUAUAUUUGUUUUCACAUGAUUUAUAUAUGUUUUGUAUUUAUAUGUGAUCGAUUGACUUUUAGUUUGAUGCAUUAAGAGGCUUCAUGCCAGGUCAUAGGGUUCAUAGGUUGAUAGGUGAUGGCGAACUCGGGAGGGCAUAAAACAUGUCCGGAAGUAUCGUUAAGGGGGACAUGCUUAGAGAUGCCUGGGAGACGUGUUUUGGGAGAUGGAGACGGUCGGCGUUUGUGACACAUGCCUGAGAGAUGCGGAGACGUGCAUCGUUUUGGGCCACAGGCCUUUGAGACAUGGAGCCUGCGGCGUUUGAUUGGCGCCGGUUUUCAUUUUACAUACGGACCGACAGAGUUUUUGUGCGCUCAUACAGACCGUGAGUUUUUUUUACAACGGUCCAACGGAAGGAUUUCAGUUUGCCACACGGAUUACAACGUGCUUUGCGUUGAAUGGACAUACUAUCGGGAAAACAGGCUCUCGAAAUGGACAAUGGACUAUGGCAUAUUUUGUGGUCUGUAUGAUGUUACUGAUGCAUGACAAAUUGACGAAAUUUUUUUUUUUUUUGUUUUGGAAAUAGAAACUGUUGAAACAUGCUUUUGAGUUUGAGACUUUGUUUUAAAGGUUGAACACGUAACAAGGAAAAGCAACAAGACUAUUUAUGGCUUUUAUGCAAUUCAGACUGAAUGGAUUUGCAAGGCUUUGCAGUGCCAAAGUCAAAUGUUGGCUGUCAAAGCAAACAAGUAAUUUUAGACAGGGACUGUUUUUUUUUCUUUUUAAGCCAUUUCUCCCAGCCUCAACAUAAUUCGACACUUCCAGCAAGGUGGAUGAUGGAACACACAAAGUAGCGUUAUUAGUAACCACCACAGCUGAACUAUUUACCAGGGAAUGCAACUACAUUCUAGCCUGUGUAGAGAAGUGGUUGGUGGAGGAUGGGAUGGCUGCUUCGUCUGGCUCAUUAGCCGUGUUCCCACUAUCUUUUUUGGGCCAACCAGGACUAAUGGCCUGGGGCCUCAAGCUGCGAGAACACAAACCAUUUGCGUUUCCACUAUCGAGCCGAUCUCCGCGCAGUACUACCC
ensembl:lncRNA